rnacentral:rRNA from 1 species
CAGAGGCCCCAAGCGUUACUGAGAAUCACUGGGUUUAAAGGGUGCGUAGGUGGCGCGUUAAGUCCGUUGUGAAAGCCCUGGGCUCAACCCAGGAACUGCUUCGGAUACUGGCGCGCUUGAGGCUAGUAGAGGUCACUGGAACUGACGGUGGAGCGGUGAAAUGCGUAGAUAUCGUCAGGAACGCCAAUGGUGAAGACAGGUGACUGGGCUAGUUCUGACACUGAGGCACGAAAGCGUGGGGAGCGAACGGGAUUAGAUACCCCGGUAGUCCACGCCCUAAACGAUGCAGACUAGACUGCAGCGGGUUACACCCCGUUGCGGUCGGAGCGAAAUUGUUAAGUCUGCCACCUGGGAAGUACGGUCGCAAGGCUA